rnacentral:rRNA from 1 species
AGUGAACGCUGGCGGUAGGCCUAACACAUGCAAGUCGAACGGCAGCACAGAGGAGCUUGCUCCUUGGGUGGCGAGUGGCGGACGGGUGAGGAAUACAUCGGAAUCUACUCUGUCGUGGGGGAUAACGUAGGGAAACUUACGCUAAUACCGCAUACGACCUACGGGUGAAAGCAGGGGAUCUUCGGACCUUGCGCGAUUGAAUGAGCCGAUGUCGGAUUAGCUAGUUGGCGGGGUAAAGGCCCACCAAGGCGACGAGCCGUAGCUGGUCUGAGAGGAUGAUCAGCCGCAAUGGAACUGAGACACGGGCCAGACUCCUACGGGGGGCAGCAAUGGGGAAUAUUGGACAAUGGGCGCAAGCCUGAUCCAGCCAUACCGCGUGGGUGAAGAAGGCCUUCGGGUUGUAAAGCCCUUUUGUUGGGAAAGAAAUCCAUCUGGUUAAUACCCGGGUGGGAUGACGGUACCCAAAGAAUAAGCACCGGCUAACUUCGUGCCAGCAGCCGCAGUAA